GACACAUCUUGCAAAGUUGAUAGUGUUUCUUGGUUGUUUAAGAUACACACAAGAAUCAGCAUCGUGCAAGUAUUCUGAUGGAAAAUAAGUUGACUGGUUUAUCAUCUACAAAGUACCAAUGUUAACAAGUGAUGGGUAUCCUAUUAAAACAAGCUUACCCGAGUUUUUCUACAUGGAUACUGCUUUGCCAUCGUUUUCCUUCUCACAAAAAGAUAUCACAAAAACUAUCGAAAACCCUCUAUAUGAGACGCUGAAGGCACUAUACGAUCAGUCUCCAGAUAUCGUAACUUAUGCAAUGUAUAAUGACCAACCACCACCCACAGUUAAAGCUGCAGAUGGUAGACACGCCCACUCUAAAGGUUCGGAAUUUAAGUCAUUUAUGUUAUUUUUCCUUUUAAUAUACUACAUGUAGACUUUGACCCGUGCGUACACGGGUGGACACUGCAUGUGUUUUUGAAAUUUAUUAAA